UGGGGAAUUUUCCGCAAUGGGCGCAAGCCUGACGGAGCAAUACCGCGUGAGGGAGGAAGGCUUUUGGGUUGUAAACCUCUUUUCUCAAGGAAGAAGCACUGACGGUACUUGAGGAAUCAGCAUCGGCUAACUCCGUGCCAGCAGCCGCGGUAAUACGGAGGAGGCAAGCGUUAUCCGGAAUUAUUGGGCGUAAAGCGUCCGUAGGUGGUUGUUCAAGUCUGCUGUCAAAGCGUGGGGCUCAACUCCAUAGAGGCAGUGGAAACUGGGUAACUAGAGUGCGGUAGGGGUCGAGGGAAUUCCCAGUGUAGCGGUGAAAUGCGUAGAUAUUGGGAAGAACACCAGUGGCGAAAGCGCUCGACUGGGCCUGCACUGACACUGAGGGACGAAAGCUAGGGGAGCGAAAGGGAUUAGAUACCCCCGUAGUCC
rnacentral:rRNA from 1 species